rnacentral:rRNA from 1 species
UAGGGGGCAAGCGUUAUCCGGAUUUACUGGGUGUAAAGGGAGCGUAGACGGCAUGGCAAGUCUGAUGUGAAAGGCGGAGGCUCAACUUCUGGAUUGCAUUGGAAACUGUCAGGCUGGAGUGCCGGAGAGGUAAGCGGAAUUCCUAGUGUAGCGGUGAAAUGCGUAGAUAUUAGGAGGAACACCAGUGGCGAAGGCGGCUUACUGGACGGUAACUGACGUUGAGGCUCGAAAGCGUGGGGAGC